rnacentral:rRNA from 1 species
GAUGAACGCUGGCGGCGUGCCUAAUACAUGCAAGUCGAGCGAACAGACGAGGAGCUUGCUCCUCUGACGUUAGCGGCGGACGGGUGAGUAACACGUGGAUAACCUACCUAUCAGACUGGGAUAACUUCGGGACACCGGCGCUAAUACCGGAUAAUAUAUUGAACCGCAUGGUUCAAUAGUGAAAGACGGUUUUGCUGUCACUUCUAGCUGGAUCCGCGCCGCAUUAGCUAGUUGGUAAGGUAACGGCUUACCACGGCGACGAUGCGUAGCCGACCUGAGAGAGUGAUCGGCCACACGAGAACUGAGACGCGGUCCAGACUCCUACGGGAGGCAGCAGUAGGGAAUCUUACGCAAUGGGCGAAAGCCUGACGGAGCAACGCCGCGUGAGUGAUGAAGGUCUUCGGAUCGUAAAACUCUGUUAUUAGGGAAGAACAAAUGUGUAAGUAACUAUGCACGUCUUGACGGUACCUAAUCAGAAAGCCACGGCUAACUACGUG